GAGUUUGAUCAUGGCUCAGAUUGAACGCUGGCGGAAUGCUUUACACAUGCAAGUCGAACGGCAGCACGGGGGCAACCCUGGUGGCGAGUGGCGAACGGGUGAGUAAUACAUCGGAACGUGCCCAGUCGUGGGGGAUAACUACGCGAAAGCGUAGCUAAUACCGCAUACGAUCUACGGAUGAAAGCGGGGGAUCGCAAGACCUCGCGCGAUUGGAGCGGCCGAUGGCAGAUUAGGUAGUUGGUGGGGUAAAGGCUCACCAAGCCGACGAUCUGUAGCUGGUCUGAGAGGACGACCAGCCACACUGGGACUGAGACACGGCCCAGACUCCUACGGGAGGCAGCAGUGGGGAAUUUUGGACAAUGGGCGCAAGCCUGAUCCAGCCAUUCCGCGUGCAGGAUGAAGGCCCUCGGGUUGUAAACUGCUUUUGUACGGACGAAACGCGCUGAGCUAAUACCUCGGCGUAAUGACGGUACCGUAAGAAUAAGCACCGGCUAACUACGUGCCAGCAG
rnacentral:rRNA from 1 species